GAGUUUGAUCCUGGCUCAGAUUGAACGCUGGCGGCAUGCCUUACACAUGCAAGUCGAACGGCAGCACGGGAGCAAUCCUGGUGGCGAGUGGCGAACGGGUGAGUAAUAUAUCGGAACGUGCCCAGUAGUGGGGGAUAGCCCGGCGAAAGCCGGAUUAAUACCGCAUGAGACCUGAGGGUGAAAGCGGGGGAUCGCAAGACCUCGCGCUACUGGAGCGGCCGAUAUCAAAUUAACUAGUUGGUGGGGUAAAGGCCUACAAAGGCAACAAUCUGUAUUUGGUCUGAGAGGACGACCAGCCCCACUGGGACUGAAACACGGGACAGACUCCCCACCCUCCCCCGGUGGGGAAUUUUGGACAAUGGGCGCAAGCCUGAUCCAUCAAUGCCGCGUGCAGGAAGAAGGCCCUCGGGUUGUAAACUGCUUUUGUCCCGCAAGAAAUCCUCUGGGUUAAUACCUCGGGGGGAUGAGGGUACCUGAAGAAUAAGCACCGGCUAACUACCUGCCAGCACCUCGGUAAUACUCAGGGUGCGAGCGUUAAUCUGAAUUACUGUACGUAAAAUCUGCAUCCGCGGCUUUGCAAGACAGAUGUCAAACUCUUCGUGUCCAACUUGAGAACUGCAUUCCCGACUGCAAGCUAGAACACGACACAGGGGAUGGAAUACCACGUGUUCACUGAAAUCCAGUUAUAUGCGGAGGAGCGCGAUGGCGCAGUAUCCACUGCGGUCUGUCCCGACGCUCUUGCACGAACGAGCGAUGAUCAUACCGGAUUACAUACUCGUGCUACUCCACUCCUCAACGAUGCUCAACAGGCUAGUAGAGAUAUCUUGUACAGUCAACGAUCUAACGCCCGAUUCUAACCUCCAGUGUAGACGUCCGUACGAUUAAACCCAAAGGAAUUGACGGUAUCCUAACAUACCGUGAAUGAUGGCUUUAACCUCG
rnacentral:rRNA from 1 species